rnacentral:rRNA from 1 species
AACGAACGCUGGCGGCAGGCCUAACACAUGCAAGUCGAACGCUGUAGCAAUACAGAGUGGCAGACGGGUGAGUAACGCGUGGGAACAUGCCCUUCGGUUCGGAAUAACUCAGGGAAACUUGAGCUAAUACCGGAUACGCCCUUAGGGGGAAAGAUUUAUUGCCGAAGGAUUGGCCCGCGUCCGAUUAGCUAGUUGGUGAGGUAAAGGCUCACCAAGGCGACGAUCGGUAGCUGGUCUGAGAGGAUGAUCAGCCACACUGGGACUGAGACACGGCCCAGACUCCUACGGGAGGCAGCAGUGGGGAAUAUUGGACAAUGGGCGCAAGCCUGAUCCAGCCAUGCCGCGUGAGUGAUGAAGGCCCUAGGGUUGUAAAGCUCUUUCGCCAGGGACGAUAAUGACGGUACCUGGAUAAGAAGCCCCGGCUAACUUCGUGCCAGCCGCCGCAGUAA